AAAUCAUAUCUCGCGAAAACACGAAGAAUGCAAAUGCAUUCUCUCCUGAUGCAACUGAUCAAGGUACAUACCAGACUAUACCUGCGUAUACUCUAAUUACCUUGUUGAUGUCUGACUGCUCGAUGUAUGGCAAAGUGAGAAAAAGACCGGGAUGGAGAAGGAGACCACGUGCAGUGCGAGUUCUAUCUAAACUUCCAACCCACACAAGGCUGGAGCUAGAGGAGGAGGAAGAAGAUGAUGAUGAACAUAUGCAUGCACGUGCCCUGCUUCUCCAACGCGGUCCUUCUCACUGCUAGCUAGCUCCUGCAUGACGACGUCGACAGUAGAUCACAAAUGCUUCCCUCUUCUCUUCUGAUAUCGAGUUUCCACAUGUACACUCACCCUGCUGAGAAAUGGCAGAGAGGAUGAAGAGGAAUCCUCCCCUUUUAUACCCACUAUCCCCAUAGAAUUGAAAGAGAGAGACAGAGAUGGUGCAGUGGAGUGUUGGAGUGGAUGAUCAUCUCGUAGCUAGCUAGCC
rnacentral:precursor_RNA from 1 species